GACGAACGCUGGCGGCGUGCUUAACACAUGCAAGUCGAACGGAAAGGCUCCAGCUUGCUGGAGUACUCGAGUGGCGAACGGGUGAGUAACACGUGGGUAAUCUGCCCUGCACUCUGGGAUAAGCCUGGGAAACUGGGUCUAAUACUGGAUAUGACCUUUCUCCUUAUGGGGUUUGGUGGAAAGUUUUUCGGUGUAGGAUGAGCCCGCGGCCUAUCAGCUUGUUGGUGGGGUGAUGGCUUACCAAUGCGACGACGGGUAGCCGGCCUGAGAGGGUGAUCGGCCACAUUGGGACUGAGAUACGGCCCAGACUCCUACGGGAGGCAGCAGUGGGGAAUAUUGCACAAUGGGCGGAAGCCUGAUGCAGCGACGCCGCGUGAGGGAUGACGGCCUUCGGGUUGUAAACCUCUUUCAGCAGGGACGAAGCGUAAGUGACGGUACCUGCAGAAGAAGCACCGGCUAACUAUGUG
rnacentral:rRNA from 1 species